rnacentral:rRNA from 1 species
GUGCCAGCAGCCGCGGUAAGACGAACCGUGCGAACGUUGUUCGGAAUCACUGGGCUUAAAGGGCGCGUAGGCGGGUCGGCAAGUCCGGGGUGAAAGCCCCCAGCUCAACUGGGGAAGGGCCUUGGAAACUGCCGGUCUCGAGGGAGGUAGGGGCCUGUGGAACUUCGGGUGGAGCGGUGAAAUGCGUUGAUAUCCGAAGGAACGCCGGUGGCGAAAGCGACGGGCUGGAUCUCUUCUGACGCUGAGGCGCGAAAGCUAGGGUAGCGAACGGGAUUAGAUACCCCGGUAGUCC